rnacentral:rRNA from 1 species
UAGGGAAUCUUCGGCAAUGGGGGCAACCCUGACCGAGCAACGCCGCGUGAGUGAAGAAGGUUUUCGGAUCGUAAAGCUCUGUUGUAAGUCAAGAACGAGUGUGAGAGUGGAAAGUUCACACUGUGACGGUAACUUACCAGAAAGGGACGGCUAACUACGUGCCAGCAGCCGCGGUAAUACGUAGGUCCCGAGCGUUAUCCGGAUUUAUUGGGCGUAAAGCGAGCGCAGGCGGUUAGAUAAGUCUGAAGUUAAAGGCCGUGGCUUAACCAUAGUACGCUUUGGAAACUGUUUAACUUGAGUGCAGAAGGGGAGAGUGGAAUUCCAUGUGUAGCGGUGAAAUGCGUAGAUAUAUGGAGGAACACCGGUGGCGAAAGCGGCUCUCUGGUCUGUAACUGACGCUGAGGCUCGAAAGCGUGGGGAGCAAACAGGAUUAGAUACCCUGGUAGUCCACGCCGUAAACGAUGAGUGCUAGGUGUUGGGUCCUUUCCGGGACUCAGUGCCGCAGCUAACGCAUUAAGCACUCUGCCUGGGGAGUACGACCGCAAGGUUG